GGGGAAACGAAGAAGGCCUUANGGCGGUAAAGGUAAAAANUUUUGGGGGGAGUACAUUCUUUUUAAUAGGGGACAAAAAUGACGGUACCCUAGGAGGAAGCCCCGGCUAAAUACGUGCCCGCAGCCGCGGUAAAACGUAGGGGGCCAGCGUUUUCCGGAAUUACUGGGGGUAAAGAGCGCGUAGGCGGGCCUUUAAGUCAGGUGUGAAAAACCGGGGCUUAACCCCGGGGUGGCAUUUGAAACUGGGUUUCUUGAGGGCAGGAGAGGGAAGUAGAAUUCCCGGUGUAGCGGUGAAAAGCGUAGAAAUCUGGAGGGAAACCCGUGGGGAAGGGGGCUUUCUGGGCUGACCCUGACGCUGAGGUGCGAAAGCGUGGGGAGCAAACAGGAUUAGAUACCCCGGUAGUCCCCGCCGUAAACGAUGGAUACUAGGUGUGGGAGGUAUCGACCCCUUCCGUGCCGCAGCUAACGCAAUAAG
rnacentral:rRNA from 1 species